rnacentral:rRNA from 1 species
GAUGAACGCUAGCUACAGGCUUAACACAUGCAAGUCGAGGGACCGGCGCAGGGGUGAGUAACACGUAUCCAACCUGCCCUUUACCCGGGGAUAGCCUUUCGAAAGAAAGAUUAAUACUCGUAAUAAAGGAUGGGGAUGCGUUCCAUUAGGUUGUUGGUGAGGUAACGUUUAACCAAGCCUUCGAUGGAUAGGGGUUCUGAGAGGAAGGUCCCCCGCAUUUGAACUGAGACCCAGUCCAAUCUCCUACGUGGUGCAAGAGUAAGGAAUAUUGGUCACUGAACUCUAGCCUGCACCAGCCGAGUGACGUGAAAGAUGAAGGCUUAUGGGUCGUAAGCUUCUUUUAUAUAAGAAUAUGUAUUUUAUGAGUAAGGCUCGGCUAACUCCGUGCCAGCCGCCGCGGUAAUAC